GUUGUAAACUUCUUUUGUAAGGGAAUAAAAAGUCUUACGGGAUAAGACGUUGCAGGUACCUUACGAAUAAGGAUCGGCUAACUCCGUGCCAGCAGCCGCGGUAAUACGGAGGAUCCGAGCGUUAUCCGGAUUUAUUGGGUUUAAAGGGUGCGCAGGCGGCAUGUUAAGUCGGCGGUGAAAUUUUGCAGCUCAACUGUAAAAGAGCCUUCGAAACUGGCAAGCUUGAGUGUGGAUGAAGUAGGCGGAAUUUGUGGUGUAGCGGUGAAAUGCAUAGAUAUCACAAAGAACACCGAUUGCGCAGGCAGCUUACUAAACCAUAACUGACGCUCAUGCACGAAGGCGUGGGGAUCAAACAGGAUUAGAUACCCUGGUAGUCCACGCAGUAAACGAUGAUUACUGGCUGUUUGCGAUACAAUGUAAGCGGCUGAGCGAAAGCGUUAAGUAAUCCACCUGGGGAGUACGUUCGCAAGAAUGAAACUCA
rnacentral:rRNA from 1 species